rnacentral:rRNA from 1 species
UGAAAGUCGACGAUGAACCACCUUCGGGUGGGGAUUAGUGGCGAACGGGUGAGUAACACGUGGGCAAUCUGCCCUGCACUCUGGGACAAGCCCUGGAAACGGGGUCUAAUACCGGAUACUGACCUGCCAAGGCAUCUUGGCGGGUCGAAAGCUCCGGCGGUGCAGGAUGAGCCCGCGGCCUAUCAACUUGUUGGUGAGGUAAUGGCUCACCAAGGCGACGACGGGUAGCCGGCCUGAAAGGGCGACCGGCCACACUGGGACUGAAACACGGCCCAAACUCCUACGGGAGGCAGCAGUGGGGAAUAUUGCACAAUGGGCGAAAGCCUGAUGCAGCGACGCCGCGUGAGGGAUGACGGCCUUCGGGUUGUAAACCUCUUUCAGCAGGGAAAAAGCGAAAGUGACGGUACCUGCACAAGAAGCGCCGGCUAACUACGUGCCAGCAGCCGCGGUAAUACGUAGGGCGCAAGCGUUGUCCGGAAUUAUUGGGCGUAAAGAGCUCGUAGGCGGCUUGUCGCGUCGGUUGUGAAAGCCCGGGGCUUAACCCCGGGUCUGCAGUCGAUACGGGCAGGCUACAGUUCGGUAGGGGAGAUCGGAAUUCCUGGUGUAGCGGUGAAAUGCGCAGAUAUCAUGAGGAACACCGGUGGCGAAGGCGGAUCUCUGGGCCGAUACUGACGCUGAGGAGCGAAAGCGUGGGGAGCAAACACGAUUACAUACCCUGGUAGUCCACGCCGUAAACGGUGGGCACUACGUGUGGAGCAACAUUCCACGUUGUCUGUGCCACAGCUAACGCAUAUAAGUG